UACGUAGGUGGCGAGCGUUGUCCGGAUUUACUGGGCGGAAAGAGCGCGCAGGCGGUCGUACAAGUCGCGUGUGAAAGCCCCUGGCUCAACUGGGGAGGGUCACGCGAUACUGUUCGACUCGAAGGCAGGAGAGGGAAGUGGAAUUCCCGGUGUAGUGGUGAAAUGCGUAGAUAUCGGGAGGAACACCAGUGGCGAAGGCGACUUCCUGGCCUGUUCUUGACGCUGAGGCGCGAAAGCUAGGGUAGCAAACGGG
rnacentral:rRNA from 1 species